CUCAGCCCUGCGGAAGCUCAGGGAGGGUGAGGAUGGAGGCUGGGAGAUAUUUCCUCACAGCUCCUCUUGUGCCUUCUCUCUCUUCCCUCCCUACUUGACCCUGCCCACUCCUUCAGUCCCUCAUUGUAACCCACUGUCUUUUCAAAGGUACAUCAUUCUUACAUUUGGAUUUUAAAAUGUGUGACGAAAGCUAGAAUGCAACCCAGGAGCAGGAGCUCUGCACUAACAGGAGAGGGCUCCUUCUGGUUUCCAUGUUCCACACACCUUUUUCAUUAGGCCAAAAGUCACCAAGGGUGCAAUGGGAGCUGGACUAUGCUGUCCCCUUUGACAACAUGAUUUCACAGAGUGCUUCCUGCGCCGAUGCAGAGAACUGUCGCCAGAUUCGUGAGCAAUAAUGGUAGAAGAGAUCUCUGAUUAUUCAUCUUUGUCUUCAUUCUCUCUGUUGCCAUCUACCCAAUUGGAUUUAAAAUGCCGAUCCAAUGACCAUAGAAUAGAAUGUGCUCAUGGUGGCUGAGGAAAUGCAGAACCAGGGAGAGUAUUGGAAACAGUCCUGUAAUUAGAUACACGGAAAACUGCAGCAUCAAAAAACACGGUAUGAUCCUUAAGACGUGUGUUUUAAAAAAGUUUCAUGAAAAUAAACUGGUAAAAAACACUGAACACUUUAAGGAACUACUUUGAAUGUGUACAGAAACAAUAGGCCUUCUAAUAACGUUUGGUUGAUUUGC
rnacentral:lncRNA from 1 species